CCCACGCCACUAUGCUAUCUCUAACUCUGCCAUCCAGACCGAGCAAACGUACUUAAGACCUUUGUGUAAGAUCAGAAAAUCAUAAGACAGCAUUAAAAGUACUAUACAGGAGGAGAUGGAACAAGAUGGCCAAAUAGAAGCCUCCAGCAAUCAUCUCCCCCAAAGGAAUUGAACAACUAUCAAAACAAAAUUGAACAACUAUCUAAACAAAAAAAGUACCUUCAUAAAAAGCAAAAAUCAGUUGAUAUUAUGGAUUCCCAUAAGGAUUCAUGUCUUCUAUUCACUUUAAUGAACAGUUGUAGGGCAACAAUUCUAGAAGAGUUCCAAUUCUCAUCAGGAGAAUGGACAAGGUGGAGAAGCAGAGAAAAUGCAAUGAGUAGAAUGUCUAAGUCAUCACUUUGGAAUUGACUGAACAUAAAUAAAAAUGAGAAAGAUACGUAAAAAAGAAGGGAAUGGAUGCCACAGCCCCCAUUUUGCCAACGAGGCAGCUGAGGUUCCCAGAGGCUCAAUACCAGCACCAUGGGCGGCAGCACGCAAGGCAAACACAGCCGGAGCCACCACAGCGGCCUCGAGUACGCCGACCCCGAGAAGUUCGCGGACUCGGACCAGGACCGGGAUCCCCACCGGCUCAACUCGCAUCUCAAGCUGGGCUUCGAGGAUGUGAUCGCAGAGCCGGUGACUACGCACUCCUUUGACAAAGUGUGGAUCUGCAGCCAUGCCCUCUUUGAAAUCAGCAAAUACGUAAUGUACAAGUUCCUGACGGUGUUCCUGGCCAUUCCUCUGGCCUUCAUUGCGGGAAUUCUCUUUGCCACGCUCAGCUGUCUGCACAUCUGGAUUUUAAUGCCUUUUGUAAAGACCUGCCUAAUGGUUCUGCCUUCAGUGCAGACAAUAUGGAAGAGUGUGACAGAUGUUAUCAUUGCUCCAUUGUGUACGAGCGUAGGACGAUGCUUCUCUUCUGUCAGCCUGCAACU
rnacentral:sRNA from 1 species